GGAUGUGAGGGCGAUCUGUCUGUGACAUCUGAUCUCCAGGGUUGAUUUGGCUUAUCUGGCUGGCUAGGUGGGUGUCCCCUUCCUCCCUCAUUGCUCCAUGUGUGUCCCUCCCAAAGCUCAGUCAAAGAGGAUGGCCUUCCCCAAAUAGAGACGGGCUGGUCUUUGGUCAGGGGCAUACGAGUAGCUGUGCUCCUCUGCUAGAACCUCCAAACAAGUUCUCAAGAAUAAAAAAAGAACUAACACCUAUUCUCCUCAAACUAUUCCAGACUAUUGUAGAAGGGCAAAUAUUAUCAAACAUGUUCUAUGAUGCAAACAUCACUUUGAU
rnacentral:snRNA from 1 species